GGAAUGAGGGAUAGUGGCGAAUUGGUUAAUAAGACGUGGAUAAUGAACCCUAAAGACGGGCACAACCUGUUGAAAAACAGGCUAAUUCCCGAUAGUCCCUAUGAAGCGCAAGUUUUAUAGGGUAAAGCUUUGGCGCUUUAGGAUCAGUCUGCGGCCUAUCAGCUUGUUGGUGAGGUAAUGGCCCACCAAGGCAAUGACGGGUAGGUGGUCUGAGAGGAUGGUCGCCAACUAGGGCACUGAGACAUGGGCCCUACUCCUACGGGAGGCAGCAGUCGAGAAUCUUGCGCAAUGGACGAAAGUCCGACGCAGCGACGCCGCGUGACCGAAGAAGCUCCAUGGAGUGUAAAGGUCUUUUAUGAAGGAACAAGUUUUUAACUGAGGGUACUUCAUGAAUAAGGGGGGGCUAAUUGCGUGCCAGCAGCAGCGGUAAAACGUGACCCCCAAGCGUUAUCUGGAAUUAUUGGGCGUAAAGCGUCCGUAGGCGGCUUGAUUAGUCCAAGUUCAAAGUCUUUGGGCUCAACCUAAAGAGGGGCUUGGAUACUGUCAAACUAGAGGGUGUUAGGGGCUGAUGGAACUCACGGUGUAGGGGUGGAAUCCGUUGAUAUCGUGAGGAACACCGAAAGCGAAGGCAUUCAGCUGGAGCAACCCUGACGCUGAGGGACGAAAGCCAGGGGAGAGAAUGGGAUUAGAUACCCCAGUAUUCCUGGCUGUAAACGAUGGAUGCUAGCUAUUGCAAGUGUCGACCCUUGCAGUGGCGUAGUUAACACGUUAAGCAUCCCGCCUGGGGAGUACAGCCGCAAGGCCGAAACUCAAAGGAAUAGACGGGUACCCACACAAGCAGUGGAUCACGUGGCUUAAUUCGAUGGCAAGCGGGAAACCUUACCAAGACUUGACAUCUAUCUGAAAGCCUGCUGAAAGGCGGGCCCUCUCACAAGGACAGAUAGACAGGUGAUGCAUGGUCGUCGUCAGCAGGUGCCGUGAGGUGCUCCCUUAAAUGGGGAAACCUGCGAAACCCUUAUCUCAUGUUUUAUGUGUCAUGAGGAACUGCCCGCCUAUAGCGGGAGGAAGGCGAGGAUGACGCUAGAUCAGCAUGUCCUUUAUGUCUUGGGCUGCACACGUGAUACAAUGGUCGGUACAAAGGGCUGCCAAGCCGUAAGGCGGAGCUAAUCCUUAAAACCGAUCUCAGUCCGGAUUGGGGUCUGCAACUCGACCCCAUGAAGCUGGAAUUGCUAGUAACCGUAAAUCAGCCACGUUACGGUGAAUAUGUCUCUGGGUAUUGUACUCACCGCCCAUCACUUCAAGCGAGCUGGGGAUGCCCGAAGUCCGUACUAGUUACGGCCUAAGGUAGAUCCAGUGAGAGGGAAGAAGUUGUAACAAGGCA
rnacentral:rRNA from 1 species